UCUCGAUUGGUCUAGUGGUAAGGAUACCUGCUUGUCAAGCACUAGACAAUGGUCUAGUUUCCACGACGGUGGAUAUAGCAAGCCGCAGGUGGCCGGGGUUCGAUUCCCCGAUCGAGAG